AAAGAUCAGAGGUGAGUUAUCUUUUUAUUCAAAAACCAAGCAAGUCAUCUGUAUGAUCUCACUAGGAACUACACUAGACAUAAAAGGAUAUGGAGAUGUGUCAAAGUCCCAGUGAACCUUGGUCCAGCUACUUCUGCACCGGAGCUCCACCAGGGUUUUGAGAAGGAAUGUCUUUGUGCACAAUUAGAUUUACUUUGGGAGCCAAAGUGAAAAAUCUGCUAAUGAAUGAGCGCAUCAGCUAUGGAGGCGUGCUAAUCAGACAUGUUAUGAAGAGAGAACCUGUAGGAGGAGUGUGGUUGGUUAACUCCCUCUGGCUGUCACACCUUUGGGAUCCACUGCAGGAUAUACACCUAUACCAUGCUUUUUCCCUGCUGCUUCCCAGGCAAUGGCUGACACAGCCAGGAGAAUUCUGCUCAAUGAGAGACUACUCCAAUGUCCUGUCUUCAGUGAGAUUCUCCAUUAACCAACAUGAAACUUUCUCAAGGCUGUAAUGCAGUCUAAGGUGUUUCCUGCCCAAUGUUUCUCUUCCUUCCAUUCAUAGGUGUCUGAUCUGCAUUAUGGCUUGGAAGCUGUCCUUGUUUAUUUCUGCUGCCCUUUCCCUUUAGGCACAAGCAUUUUCCCUAGUAAAUCUCUUGAACUUCUGGUCCCAUGAUGACAUCUGCUUCCUUAAGGACCUUAGCUGGUAGCGAGUUUUCCUUUACAUUUAUCAAUAUGGCAGAUAUUUUGUUCUUAGAUCUUUCCAGGGUUCUACCAGUUUAUGUUUUAUCUCUCCUUUUUGUAGCAACAUCUCUUUCCUGAAUUCUUAUAUUUCUGUUUGUGGUUUUCUUUUAUAAAUUCAUUUACUUUAAAUACAUAGUGGAAUAAUCACAAUUUUCAUCUGCUUCAUUCCCCU
rnacentral:lncRNA from 1 species